AACCCUCAUAAUAACUGUCCAGUAACAUUUAUCCCCAGUAAAGCUAAUAACAUAGCCUCUUCCUAUAUCCCUGUGGUGUCUCACCUAGUAGCUGAAUUUCAAAAAUGUGUAUGAUCUCAGGCCAGGCGUGGUGGCUCAUUCCUGUAAUUGCAGCACUUUGGGAGGCUGAGGCAGGCGUGAGCCACUGCGCCCAGCCUAUCAAGUUGGAUCUUGGUGAUAUUCAUUCAAUAUGAAGUACCAAGUGAAAAUGAUCAGGAUAUUUAAAAAUCCUAAGAUUAUAGUUAAGCAUUUUGAGUGUAUGAUUGGGUUAUUGAUUACACUGACUCCUUGUCAGUAGGUAGAUAUCACUAGCCAUUUUAGAAUGUUUUACAAGAGGGUUUAGCCAAAGUCUUUGUCAAAAAGGAACACGCCAUUAAUUUGGGUGUAAAUUUUUUGGGAGAAAAUUACGUGCGUGUGUGUGUGUGUGUGUUUGUGUCUGUGUGUGUGCCUGUGUGAGAGACAGACACACACACAUAGACAGAGAGAGAAAGAGAGACAGAGAGAGAGACACAUACAUACACACAGAAUUUUGUGGUUUAAAUCUUUCAAGUUGCAGACUUGAAACUCUAAGAGGGCACGGAGAUUCCUGUAAAAGUGGUUCAAAGAGGAGCUUUUCUUGUCUUUGGAGGCCUAAUUAAUAUUAUGUGGCAAUAGGUGAAGCUAUUAAAAAUUUUUGUUUUCAUUACACUAAAAUUAGA
rnacentral:lncRNA from 1 species